UGGAGUCAUUUUGCGAGUGAGGUUCGUGUGUUUUUGCGUAUUUUUCUUAUUGUUAUUGCAUCUCGUAUGUGUGUAUUCUCUUGUUUAAAUUCGAUUUUAGCCUUGUGCAGUUUUUUAUUAACAAACAAUCAACAAAUAUAAAUAAACUAUUUAACUUUUUUUGUGCGGUGUGUAAAUAAACCAAAUUUAAUUAAAGAAAAAUAUUCAAAAUAUAUUCAAUAGAAUAAUCAGCAAAUAAAAUAAAACAAAGGAAAAACAAGUAGAACAUUAUCAGCAACAAAUAAAUGAACAAAAUUUAAAUAACAAAUUACAAUAAACUUUAAGUUACAAUAAAAUACAAAUAAAGCAGCAAAUACAAAUUAUUUUCACAAGCAUUAAAAAAAUGUAUUAUCGUUAAAACUACAACUACAGUUUUUUAAAAGUGAGCAGCAAAAUAAGGAUAAAACCAAAAUAAUGACUUAUUCCCUUUUCAAAUAAGGUAAGAAUAUA